rnacentral:lncRNA from 1 species
GUAAGUCCCAUUUGUCUUGGGUGGGGCCUUCGGUGGAUGGUACGGAAGCGCUUGGUGUGGGGAACACAACAUUGGGGCAAGUUUGAGGGAGGCAACCAUGGACUCAGUUUCAGAGGGCACCAGCAGAGAGGAAGAGGAUGAAAAGAGGAACGAUUUGAGAGCCGGGAUCCAUCCUCUGAGCCUGGCUGAAAGGAGACAAGUGGAUAUGACUGGAGAUGUCUGGAGGGAGGAGGGUGAGACACAGAAAAGACUCUCUUGUGAUGCCCUUUCCGAACCCGAAAAACUUGGAGAGAAUUUGAACGUGACCUUUGUGACUUAGCCACAUCUCACUUUAGCCGGAUGUCACCGUGCCCGUGGCCAGGUCUCUGUCUCGUUCAUUUUGGAAUCAUCCCCAGCCUGGAGCAGCUGACCAGGGACGGCUGAAUAAAAU